GCAAAGAUCAUUGUAGCAGCAGAAUUCUGAUAAGAUGGAGGAAAGAAAAGCCAGAGUGAAGCAGACCAUUAGCAGAUAAUUGUCAUAAUCUUGAUACUAAAUGGAGACCAGAAUUAAGUCAGAACACUGAAUACAGAAACUUGAAGAACAACAUCAUUUCAGUCAGGAGUACCAAAAAGAGCUUUUAAGAAAACGGAAGCAGAAAAUGGCAUAGAAGAAGCUGAACCUAAAAUAUUCAUUGAAGUCAGAAGGCAAAGGAUCCUUUGAUGUAGUCCAUUCAGAGCAGAAGGAGAAGAAUGCAGAGUGGAUCUGCAGGGACAAAUAGAAGAUGCAGCGCAAUGGAGAUACUGUUUAAUGCCGCAGGGGACCUGGGCUCUUUUCGUCUCUCCUAUGUAAAGAGAAUUUCCUCCAUCCAAGUAAAACUGAUGCGAUCGGUCAGCUUUCUAGACAACAGAAAUAAAUAAUUCUCUCUGUGAGGAAUGA
rnacentral:lncRNA from 1 species